GAUUACUUCUGUGGCCUCAGGAGUUCCUGGAGCUCAAAGCCUCAUUAAGAUGGAUGGUCCAGGAAAACCUUUCUUCUUUGUGAAAACUUAAGAAUAAAACUACCUAGAUUUGGGGCAAAGGAGUCAACUAGAAGACACCUAAUCUUAAUGAGGAAGAUUUAAGGUCCAGAAACAUUAUUAUAAUAGCAAGAAGAAGGAGGAGGAAGAGGAGGUAGAAAAGAAGUGAGG